rnacentral:rRNA from 1 species
AACGAACGCUGGCGGCGCGCCUAAUACAUGCAAGUCGAGCGAGAAGACGUAGCAAUACGUUUGUAAAGCGGCGAACGGGUGAGGAAUACAUGGGUAACCUACCCUCGAGUGGGGAAUAACUAGCCGAAAGGUUAGCUAAUACCGCGUACGCUCCUUGGACUUCGGUUCAGGGAGGAAAGCGAUACCGUGGGUAUCGCGCUCUUGGAUGGGCUCAUGUCCUAUCAGCUUGUUGGUGAGGUAACGGCUCACCAAGGCUUCGACGGGUAGCUGGUCUGAGAGGACGAUCAGCCACACUGGCACUGCGACACGGGCCAGACUCCUACGGGAGGCAGCAGUAAGGAAUAUUGCGCAAUGGGCGAAAGCCUGACGCAGCGACGCCGCGUGGGGGAUGAAGGUCUUCGGAUUGUAAACCCCUUUCGGGAGGGAAGAUGGAACGAGCAAUCGUUCGGACGGUACCUCCAGAAGCAGCCACGGCUAACUUCGUGCCAGCCGCCGCCG